rnacentral:lncRNA from 1 species
GCGCCGUUUGCCGGGACUGAGCCGCUGUUGUCGCUGGUAUCCCGGGAGCAGCGCCGGGAAGUGGAGUCGUCGUAUUUUCGGGCAGCCGGCGGCCCACGGGGAUGGGACGUCACGGGGCUGUGCUGACGCCAAAACCCUUCCACCCUUUAUUAGCCUGUCGCCCUUCUUUCGUGUUUACAGCAAAUAUUUUCCGACGUCUAAUGUGUCCCACUUACUGUGCCACGUGCGAGGGUGCACGUGUCAGGCAAGAUCGCUGUUCCAAGGAGGCUGAGAACAGAUAACUUGAAGCCCAAACAGGACAGAAAAUCACAGGCCAAAGUCAUCUGAAGGAAGGCUGACACCCAUGACAGACAACCGGGAUGUUGCUCUCCAUUCAUCCCAAGGGCAGCAAAGUCUAUCCUGGAACUUGGAAUGGUUUCUUUAUACAGACAAUGAACACUCACCUCUCCUGGAGUCAAGUCAUUGUUUCUUUCCUUUGGAAUCCUGCUAUUCCUGCACCCAUGGCUCUUCUCUAGGCUCCAAUGGGAAGUACAGGUCAGGGUUUGGGACUAGAUAUACUGGUCAUAAGAAAUACAGGGAACAUGAUAGUUUGGGUCACACUGACUUUUCCUGAGUUCAGGCUGAUUUCCAGGACAGAUGGCCUCUCCAUAUUUAUUUCCUUGUCAAUUAGGAUUAUUUCACCUGGAGCCUCUAACAGGCAGUUGGCUUUUUUUGAGACAGGGUCUUGCAGUGUCUCCCAGGCUGGACUGCAGUGGCACAAUCUCAACUCACUGCAGUCUUGACCUCCCAGGCUCAAGGGAUCCUCCCACCUUAGCCUCUGGAGUAGCUGGGACCACAGGCAUGUGCUGCCAUGCCCUGAUAAUUUAAAAAAAAAUUCUGUAGAGAGAAGGGCUCUCUCUGUUGCCCAGGCUGGUCUUGAACUUCUGGCUCAAGCAAUCCUCUUGCCUCGGCCUCCCAAAGUGCUAGGAUUACAGGUGUGAGCCACUGUGCCCAGUAUAACAGGCAGUUUUUCAACAUUAGAGCAAAAUCUAGGAGUACAAAAGCCUUACUGGAAAAAUAAUAAACAAACAUUAGAACAAAAACAAAAUAGGGGGAAGAUCCUUUUGUGCUCAAUUCAAAGCUAUUCUCCUCCAAUCUCUGGGAAGAGGAGUGAAUUAAUUCUGCUAAAGUCAAUGCACUGAUUUAGUUUUACCUCAUUUUUUGAAUAUUUUGAUAAUAAAAUUAUCUAAGAACCAAAAUAUCAAGUUAAUCUUCCUAAAAUUCUGACUAUAUUAAAACUGAGAACUAUUCUCUUGUAGAAUCCAAGAGAAGACAGAGGUAAAUGUGGUAGUUAAACUAUGUCCUGGAUUAAUUUCAGUUAAGAGACUUUCAAAUAAGAAUUGGUAUCUGAACUGGUUUGGUUGGCAACCAGCAAAAAC